rnacentral:rRNA from 1 species
GGGGCAGCAUUCUUAGCUUGCUAAGGCGAUGGCGACCGGCGCACGGGUGAGUAACACGUAUCCACCUGCCGUCUACUCUUGGACAGCCUUCUGAAAGGAAGAUUAAUACAAGAUGGCUUCACAUGUUUAAAGGUAUUCGGUAGACGAUGGGGAUGCGUUCCAUUAGAUAGUAGGCGGGGUAACGGCCCACCUAGUCUUCGAUGGAUAGGGGUUCUGAGAGGAAGGUCCCCCACAUUGGAACUGAGACACGGUCCAAACUCUACGGGAGGCAGCAGUGAGGAAUAUUGGUCAAUGGGCGCAGGCCUGAACCAGCCAAGUAGCGUGAAGGAUGACUGCCUAUGGGUUGUAAACUUCUUUUAUAAAGGAAUAAGUCGGGUAUGUAUACCCGUUUGCAUGUACUUUAUGAAUAAGGAUCGGCUAACUCCGUGCCAGCAGCCGCGGUAAUACGGAGGAUCCGAGCGUUAUCCGGAUUUAUUGGGUUUAAAGGGAGCGUAGAUGGAUGUUUAAGUCAGUUGU